AGAGUUUGAUCAUGGCUCAGAUUGAACGCUGGCGGCAGGCCUAACACAUGCAAGUCGAGCGGAUGAAGGGAGCUUGCUCCCUGAUUUAGCGGCGGACGGGUGAGUAAUGCCUAGGAAUCUGCCUGGUAGUGGGGGAUAACGUCCGGAAACGGGCGCUAAUACCGCAUACGUCCUACGGGAGAAAGCAGGGGACCUUCGGGCCUUGCGCUAUCAGAUGAGCCUAGGUCGGAUUAGCUUGUUGGUGAGGUAAAGGCUCACCAAGGCGACGAUCCGUAACUGGUCUGAGAGGAUGAUCAGUCACACUGGAACUGAGACACGGUCCAGACUCCUACGGGAGGCAGCAGUGGGGAAUAUUGGACAAUGGGCGAAAGCCUGAUCCAGCCAUGCCGCGUGUGUGAAGAAGGUCUUCGGAUUGUAAAGCACUUUAAGUUGGGAGGAAGGGUUGUAGAUUAAUACUCUGCAAUUUUGACGUUACCGACAGAAUAAGCACCGGCUAACUUCGUGCCAGCAGCCGCGGUAAUACGAAGGGUGCAAGCGUUAAUCGGAAUUACUGGGCGUAAAGCGCGCGUAGGUGGUUUGUUAAGUUGGAAGUGAAAGCCCCGGGCUCAACCUGGGAACUGCUUUCAAAACUGGCAAGCUAGAGUAUGGCAGAGGGUGGUGGAAUUUCCUGUGUAGCGGUG
rnacentral:rRNA from 1 species